GCCCGCUUGGCUCAGUGGUAGAGCGUGUCACUAGUAAUCACAAAAAUGUGAUGACAAGGUCAUCAGUUCGAUUCUGAUAGUGGGCA